CCACUUACCCUCCCGUCGUUGGCCGUUCCGUACGUCCCCUACCCGAACCGUAACCGUAACCAACGGUACGGGGUUGGGUCGGACUAGGUCGUCGUCGGUUCGUACGACGUCCGUUCGGUCGUUCGUAGAGUAGUUGGGUUAGGUUACCGCCGACGAACGACGCGACCUACCGUCGUUAGUUUGUCCAUCAUUAAGUUGGGCACUCUAAUGAGACUGCCGGUGAUAAACCGGAGGAAGGUGGGGAUGACGUCAAGUCAUCAUGCCCCUUAUGACCUGGGCUACACACGUGCUACAAUGGACAGUACAACGAGAAGCGAGCCUGCGAAGGCAAGCGAAUCUCUGAAAGCUGUUCUCAAUUCGGACUGCAGUCUGCAACUCGACUGCACGAAGCUGGAAUCGCUAGUAAUCGCGGAUCAGAACGCCGCGGUGAAUACGUUCCCGGGCCGUCGACGCGGCCG
rnacentral:rRNA from 1 species